AAAAAGGAAAAGGAAAAGAAUGAUAAGCCCAAAAGGGCUCAAAAAGGUAACAAAAAUAGGUGCAAGUUGUGUGAGGUACUUGGGCACAGAAUUGGUUCAUCCAAGUGCAUCUACACUCCUCAGAGGCCAAAGAGGAAGCGUGCAGAAAAAGCCCCACCGCUUGUUGUUGAACAAUGCUGGCCAGUGAAAAAAGCAAGACUCAGUGGCUAUAGAAGGAAGAGCACUAAGCAGAUAAUGUUUGGUGACAAAGAUAUGGAGCUAACUGAAACUGUUACUGCUGAACAUGAGCUAAGUGUUUGUGUUUUGGACGAUGUGAUGCAUACUGAAUCUGUUUUGCAGACGCUAGGGCAAUCUGAAACUAUUGCAGAUGAAGCAACUGUUGUGCUGCCAUUCGAAUCUGCUUUGACAACUGUGUUGCCAUGUUUGGAGGUUGUGCUGCCAAGUGUUGAGUUGCAAACUGAAGUAGUUGAACAAUGUGUGCCAUCUACUCAAUCUGCAGAAGUGCAAACUGAAGAAGUGAGACAUGGUCAGGUGCAAAAGUUGAGGGGGCC